rnacentral:lncRNA from 1 species
CGCAUUAUGGGUUUCUGGAUGAAGCAGCUGGCCGCGGUCAUUGCGGCUUCGUAGGCCUACGAGGUCACCAUAGGGUGACCGGCCGUACAGUGGCGAAAGUGGCUUGCCGUGCAUAACGUGCACCACGGAGAAUGGUAGUGUGCACACCGCAGUCUGAAGGAAAGGCGGCAACGGCGUGUGUGCAUAUGUGGAAGCGUUAUGUGGGUGGGUGGAAGCCAGCAGUGGGGAUAUGGACAGCUUGUUCAGGCAGCCGGACGCACAUCACAAAUGUUUACACACACGUUGAUGAGGGGAAAAUGUAUGGCGCCUCGGCACUGUGGACGACACGAAGUUUGUAGAACCGCGGUGCACUGUAGGGUUGUAGGGAUUUAGGCAGGUCUUUAGGCACCAAAACAAGCGGGCGGCUGUGGUGAAUGCAAAUCUUUGAUACCAGUUUUUCCUUUCAGGCGUGCAACACACGCUGCACGAGGGCGCUGCGAAACACACCUGACGCGUCAGCAACAUGCAGCAACCGUUGUGCGUCUUGAUAACAGUGCACUGCUAUCAUCAGCCUGCCGCGCCGACCGAAGCUGCAUGUGCCCAGGGUUAAUGGCGCUUGGUGAUUAUACAAGGAACCGCGCGACCUUUCAGCGCUCCUGCACCACCCUUGCCGGCAAUGCAGUGCACGUUGCCUAUGCCCGCUGCUUAUGAAGGCUGCUCUCAGCAAGCCAAGCAAGCGAAUAUUCUAUUCUCCAUUGAAAGUUUCCUUUUUUAACAUUGCCGCUUUCUUCCCGUGUCGCCGCGAGCUAUCCUUCAUUAUAAAAGAUAGCACCAAUAUUAUAUUGGUGCAUACCUUUUUUAAUAAUAUAAUAUUAUAUACCUUUUUAAUAUAGUAUUAUAUUAUAUACCUUUU